UUAAAUCCAAAAACUUUGGGUUCGUGUGAGCAAAUGUUUACCAAUCUUUGGUUUAUGUUGAUAUUGACGUAUAUUUGCUUAUUACGAACUUCUUGGUAUUUGAGAAAUUUCUAGAUAUUCCACAAUUGUAACGAACCACAUAUAUAACGUCUUUGAAGAGGCAAUCAUGAGGUCAUUCCUUCCUUGAUAUAGUUCGAAUGGAUACAAAACAUUAAGGAAUUGUUAAAAUGAACCAAGAUUAAGAUGUAGGAGUUAGGUCAAGUUUGCUUUUAUUAUUACAUUUAUUUGAAUGUAGGAAAUGUAAUAAACUACAGUAUAUAAAUAUGUAUAUUAACCAGGGAAUAAAAAUAUAAUGGUAACCACCUAUAUAAACUCGAA